rnacentral:rRNA from 1 species
GUAGGGGGCAAACGUUGUCCGGAUUUACUGGGUGGUAAAGGGUGUACGGCGGUUUCUGUAAGUUAGAAGUGAAAUACCUGGGCUUAACUCUGGAACUGCUUUUAAUACUGCAAGCCUUGAAUCGUGGAAGAGGAUGAGGAAUUUCCUUGUAGCAGUGAAAUGCGUAGAUAUCAGAAAGAACACCACUGGCGAAGGCGGUCAUCUGGUCCACUAUUGACGCUAAAGCACGAAAGCGUUGGGGAGCAAACAGGAUUAGAUACCCCGGUAGUCCUAGCUGUAAACGAUUGUGAACUUGGCGUCGGCGGGUUUAAAUCCGUCGGUGCCGAAGCUAUCGCGAUUAAGUUCACCGCCUGGGGACUACGGCCGCAAGGCUUA